GACGAACGCUGGCGGCGUGCUUAACACAUGCAAGUCGAACGAAGAGCGAUGGAAGCUUGCUUCUAUCAAUCUUAGUGGCGAACGGGUGAGUAACGCGUAAUCAACCUGCCCUUCAGAGGGGGACAACAGUUGGAAGCGACUGCUAAUACCGCAUACGAUCUAACCUCGGCAUCGAGGAAAGAUGAAAGGUGGCCUCUAUUUAUAAGCUAUCACUGAAGGAGGGGAUUGCGUCUGAUUAGCUAGUUGGAGGGGUAACGGCCCACCAAGGCGAUGAUCAGUAGCCGGUCUGAGAGGAUGAACGGCCACAUUGGGACUGAGACACGGCCCAGACUCCUACGGGAGGCAGCAGUGGGGAAUCUUCCGCAAUGGACGAAAGUCUGACGGAGCAACGCCGCGUGAGUGAUGACGGCCUUCGGGUUGUAAAGCUCUGUUAAUCGGGACGAAAGGCCUUCUUGCGAAUAGUGAGAAGGAUUGACGGUACCGGAAUAGAAAGCCACGGCUAA
rnacentral:rRNA from 1 species